AAGACUAUAGACCUGCGGAGUACCUGCGGAAGGAUCAUUAAAGAGAAAACUGCCCUUUGGGUAGAUCUCCCACCCUUUGUUUAUAUUACCUUUGUUGCUUUGGCAGGCCCGUCUCUGACCACCGGCUCUUUGGCUGGUCUGUGCCUGCCAAGAGACCUCCAACUCUUGAUUUGAAGUUGUCCAAGUCUUAUAUAAUAGUAAAAACUUUUAACAACGGAUCUCUAGAUCGGAAGAGCACAC
rnacentral:misc_RNA from 1 species